CUGAGACAGGUGCUGCAUGGCUGUCGUCAGCUCGUGUUGUGAAAUGUUGGGUUAAGUCCCGCAACGAGCGCAACCCUUAUCCUUGUUUGCCAGCGAGUAAUGUCGGGAACUCCAGGGAGACUGCCGGUGAUAAACCGGAGGAAGGUGGGGACGACGUCAAGUCAUCAUGGCCCUUACGAGUAGGGCUACACACGUGCUACAAU
rnacentral:rRNA from 1 species